AUUUACACUCAUGAAGGGGAGAGGAAGAGUCUGCCAUGAAAAACAUCAGUUGCUUGUGGUGAGUUGAAGACCAAGAACAAUUCACAGAUAUAUAAUGAAGCAGAAAGAAAGGGAGGAUGACCCCCUGGACAUGUUACCACCAGGUGCUAUGUAAGACAGCCCACGAAACUUGGAAAACUACUGCUAUACAAACAGAAAAAGUUACUGGAUCCAGCAUCUCUGCAACCUACUGGGCUUAAUGCUGUACUAUCCUCUGGCCAUAGCAGAGAGAAGAAACUGUCUGCUGAAGGUGAUCUCAGAGACUGCUUUCUCUGACAGCAUGGUAGACGGAGGUCAAGUUUUCAUGGACUAGCUGGUCUUCUGAGUGGAAUGCUAC
rnacentral:lncRNA from 1 species